GUCCACGCCCUAAACGAUGUCAACUGGUUGUUGGGAAGGUUCCUUCUCAGUAACGUAGCUAACGCGUGAAGUUGACCGCCUGGGGAGUACGGCCGCAAGGUUGAAACUCAAAGGAAUUGACGGGCACCCGCACAAGCGGUGGAUGAUGUGGUUUAAUUCGAUGCAACGCGAAAAACCUUACCUACCCUUGACAUGUCUGGAAUCUUGCAGAGAUGUGAGAGUGCUCGAAAGAGAACCAGAACACAGGUGCUGCAUGGCCGUCGU
rnacentral:rRNA from 1 species